CAAACUCAUACUCUCUUGCUACAGGGCAAUUAAUCCCUAUCAUGCUUUUUUAAAAGGUCAGUUUAUGAACUCAGAUAAGGAAAAAAAGUCAGUGAAGUGUGGUAUUUUCUCCUCUUAACAUCAGCAAAAAGAAGACCUACUGUUUUAGAAUUGCAGAUACAUUUAGCUAAUUUCUACAUGAUUGCAUCAAAGACAUUCCAUUCUCUAAUUAAUGAAGCCUUCAAAGAAAAAUAUCAGAGAGAAAAAGCCCUGACUUUCAACCAUCAUUGAACUUCUCAUGCUAGUAAAAGUUGGAAGUAAAAUAUAAGGGUAAAACCUAUAAAGGCAAAUACUGAAACACAGAGGCAAAAUACGAUCUCUUUGCCCUUUAGUAUUUGGAUAAUAAAAAUGUAAAACAUUGCCCAAUAUCCUCAUAUCCCACUUAUUCUUUUUAUUCUUCUGCUUUCUGGAUCUGAAAGCUCUUUUCCAACCUCAAUGAUUUUAUGAUUCUAUUCUUGAAUUUUUUUUAAAAGAGCAGAAUAACUUCUUCUGACAUUUGUUAUAUGUUACCAAUUCAAGGGUUUCAUAAGGACUGAAGUAUUUCUGUCAAAACUAAGAAGAAGGUGGAUAACUGCAAUGAAGAGAGAUGGGCCAUGAAGGGAGAUUACACCAGCUCUUAGUUUGGUUGCCAAGCUGUUAAUAAAGUCAACAUUGUGAAGAAAUGAAGUUUAAAGUCUAUACAAAGAAGACAAAAUUUCUUGAGAAAUGACAUGUACUACGGUACUGGAAACUUUAUCUUCCUGUCAAAGAUGAUGCAGUAAAGUCAACUGAACAAGAUAAUAACAUAUCUCUUGUAAAGGUGGAAGAUGUCUACAGUGAAUGGGAACAGAAGAUGGCAUAGGCUGUCAGAAAAAAUUAAAACAAGGAAUAUGUCUGUUCAUAAAUUUGAUGACGUGGAAUUCGAACCACACAAAAUGUUGUGAUAGAUGAACACCUUGGAGAACAUUUUAUUUUCUUAUUUGAAAGAAACAUUUUGGAAGAAGAUUUUAUAUCCUUCUCUAUAAUGUCUCUGUAUAUCUAUACCUACAUAUUUAUAUUUAAUUCUUUGCAUCUGUAUAGGGUCAAGACUUAUUUCACAUUCAAGACUUUCCCUGUAUUAUUUGACUGUUCUCAUUUUUAAACAGGCUUAUCUGAAGAUAUGAUAUUCUAGAAAAUUCUAGGACACUAUACAAUGGCAAAAUUGCCAUUUUUUCUUAAAUAUGUGGAUAAUUUGGAUUAUUAUUUGAAUUAAUCCACCAAGUUUCCCUAUUCAAAGGACUCAAUGAGAUUUGAAAGACAUGAUUUUCCUUGGUCUAUCUGAUGCUGAAGAAAAGCUUGAAUUUCUCUCUGCCACAUCUCAUCUGAGACUCCCAACUGCUAGAUAAAUUAAUGUUGCUUUGGGGGUAGGGUUAUAUGUGUCAGUUUUACUGAAGGAUUUGGAUAUGAGGGGGAAAUUUUGGUGCCAGAACCUAACUUUUUUAAGCAAAUGGUCAGUUCAAAGCUCCUAAGAACUCUUGUUUCUAACACAGCACUUUGUUUAUUUUAUUUUAUUUUAUUUUGAAACCUCAUACUGGAGUAGUGGACCUAUUUAACAAUGGUAAUUACAUAAUUUGGUCUUUGAAUUAGAUACGUGUUCCCAUUUCAAUGUGACUGUUCUUUUCCACAUUUUUAUUUCCUUCUGCAAGGGAGGGUAUGGCUGGUCAUUCAGAUGAUAUGGUUUUUGUCAUCUCUUGGAUCAGUGACUUAAUCAUAGGAUUUCAUUUUAAAGAGGACUCACAGGUCUACUAAUGCCAACAAUAAGAUGACCUGGUAAUAUUCAGAGUUCAAAGUUUAAUCACAGUAGAUCAAUCAUCACAAAGUUCAAAGAGCAUUAUUAAGCAAGCUGCAUAUUCUAGGUCUUGAGGCAAUAUAGAAUUAAUUGUCAGGAAAACAGUGGAAAAGGAAAGCACUUUAAUCUUCUUGUCCUCGGUGUGACAUAUGUCAAGUUUUGAAAUAUGUAACAUGAUGUCAUAGCUGCAGAAAGAGAGUCCAAUUUAGCCAAGGAGAAGGUGUAAAGUGACCUGGUAGAGCUUUUAUUAUUAUUAUUAUUAUUAUUUUGAAGUUAAUAAACCAAGUGAUAUUUAAAGGUGUAGUAUCCAAAUUUUGUUUCCAAAUUUUUGCUGCAAACUCUGAAGAUAUUUACUGAUACUAAUUCUUUUUUUUUUCCUUAUGGUCAGAUAAUUGAGUAUUUUAGAAUAUUAGUUCUCUUUGAAAGUUCAUAUUAAUGAGUUCAUAUUGAGGAAUUAAGAUUGAAUUCACCUCAGUAUUAAAAAAGAAACUAAUGUAUUUCUUAUAAUGGAGCACAUCUCCAACACCUGUGAAUCUUCAGAUAUGUGUCUAAGCAAACUUUUAAACUGACUAUACUGUAUACAUGCAUGAAAAAAAGCUAACUAGUAAAACAGAUGAAAGCUUAAAGAGUCUUGAGUUUGGUAAUAUAGUGACGUGUCUUUGGAGUCUUGAAAGGGGAAAAAUCUUAGAAAUAAACGUGAUGAUAAUGUAAUCAAACUUUCAUUUAUUUUUCUUUGUUUUGUUUUCUUCAUGACAUCUGGGAUUAUCCAAUGUGUGUCAAAUAAGCAGUAUGGUUUUCUAAGAUGACAUUGUGUGG